CUGCACCUACGGGGGGCAGCAGUGGGGAAUAUUGGGCAAUGGGCGCAAGCCUGACCCAGCAACGCCGCGUGAAGGAUGAAGGUUUUCGGAUUGUAAACUUCUGUCGUGAGGGACGAAGAAUGACGGUACCUCGUAAGAAAGCCCCGGCUAACUACGUGCCAGCAGCCGCGGUAAAACGUAGGGGGCGAGCGUUGUCCGGAAUGACUGGGCGUAAAGGGUGCGUAGGCGGCAUAAUAAGUUAGAAGUGAAAUACCCAGAGCUUAACUCGGGUGCUGCUUCUAAGACUGUUGAGCUUGAGUGCGGGG
rnacentral:rRNA from 1 species